rnacentral:rRNA from 1 species
UACGUAGGUGGCAAGCGUUGUCCGGAGUUAUUGGGCGUAAAGCGCGCGCAGGCGGUUGGAUAAGUCCAUGGUGAAAGCGCCUGGCUCAACUAGGCGAGUGCCGUGGGGACUGUUCAGCUGGAGUGGAGCAGAGGCGAGUGGAAUUCCGGGUGUAGUGGUGAAAUGCGUAGAGAUCAGGAGGAACACCUGUGGCGAAAGCGGCGCACUGGACCACAACUGACGCUGAGGCGCGAAAGCUAGGGGGAGCAAACAGG